GACGAACGCUGGCGGCGUGCUUAACACAUGCAAGUCGAACGGUGAAGCGCCUUCCUUUUUGGUGGGUGUGGAUGAGUGGCGAACGGGUGAGUAACACGUGAGUAACCUGCCCCCUUCUUCUGGAUAACCGCAUGAAAGUGUGGCUAAUACGGGAUAUUCUGGGUCUGUCGCAUGAUGGGUCUGGGAAAGAUAUUGUUUCGGUGGGGGAUGGGCUCGCGGCCUAUCAGCUUGUUGGUGGGGUGAUGGCCUACAAGGCGGUGACGGGUAGCCGGCCUGAGAGGGUGGACGGUCACACUGGGACUGAGACACGGCCCAGACUCCUACGGGAGGCAGCAGUGGGGAAUAUUGCACAAUGGGCGCAAGCCUGAUGCAGCGACGCCGCGUGAGGGAUGGAGGCCUUCGGGUUGUGAACCUCUUUCGCCAGUGAAGCAGGCCUGCCUCGUUUGUGGGUGGGUUGACGGUAGCUGGAUAAGAAGCGCCGGCUAACUACGUG
rnacentral:rRNA from 1 species